UCAUCUUUUCUUGGUCCUCUUGUGAGAGAACAUGUUCCGGUAACACUUUCUGAUUGGAGAAGACUUGAUGCAGUGACUAAAGCAACAAUGUGGGAAGAAAUUCAGGGGAGGUUUAACUUGCAAGAAGAGUGGCAUAAAGCUGUUAUUUUCAAGCAGUUGGGAAGCUUGUGGAGGGCUGGGAAGUCAAGGCUAGUGUCACAAGUACGGGCAGCGAAGACUGCUGCUGAGAGAUUAAAAUUAAAACCCAGCAACGUCCCAUCUAUACAAGUGUGGAACACUUGGGUUAGGAGCAAGACUACCUCAAGUUUCACGGAAAUAAGUAAUAGGUACCGAGAGCUGAGAAAAAAUCAGAUUCCUCAUACCACCAGCCGCAAAGGAAUGAUUCGUUUAGCUUAUGAUAUGAAAAAAAAAGAGUCAAGACCCAAAAAAAGUGAGUAGGAGUAAGGUAUGGAUUGCGGGACAUACUCACGCUGAUGGUAGACCCGUGAAGCCUCAAUAUGCUGAGACUAUUGAACAAAUCCAGUCACUUGAUAGUCAAAUGGACUCUACAUCAGCUGCUGAUAACAUAAGGGAGGAUGCUGUCACCAAAGAUUUUGGGAAAAGACAAACCUGGACGAGUAAGGGGGUUUGGUAGAGGGAUUACGGCUACUAAACUAGCAUUUCUGCAAUCUAGAGACGCAAAGAUUGCUGAUAUGGCUAGUGAGAUUGAAGAGUUGAAGGGCAUGGUCCGAGAGUUAGCUGGAAAGAAG